UACGUAGGGGGCAAGCGUUGUCCGGAUUUAUUGGGCGUAAAGAGCGUGUAGGCGGCCAUACAGGUCAGCUGUGAAAACUCGAGGCUCAACCUCGAGACGUCGGUUGAAACCGUAUGGCUAGAGUCCGGAAGAGGCGAGUGGAAUUCCUGGUGUAGCGGUGAAAUGCGUAGAUAUCGGAAAGAACACCAACGGCGAAAGCACUCUGCUGGGCCGACACUGACACUGAGAGACGAAAGCUAGGGGAGCGAAUGGG
rnacentral:rRNA from 1 species